rnacentral:rRNA from 1 species
UACGUAGGGGGCUAGCGUUGUCCGGAUUUAUUGGGCGUAAAGAGCGUGUAGGCGGCCAGGUAGGUCCGUUGUGAAAACUCGAGGCUCAACCUCGAGACGCCGAUGGAAACCAUGUGGCUAGAGUCCGGAAGAGGAGAGUGGAAUUCCCAGUGUAGCGGUGAAAUGCGUAGAGAUUGGGAAGAACACCGGUGGCGAAAGCGCUCUGCUGGGCCGCAACUGACACUAAUGGACGAAAGCUAGGGGAGCGAAUGGG